AUACGGAGGAUGCGAGCGUUAUCCGGAUUUAUUGGGUUUAAAGGGUGCGUAGGCUGUGCGUUAAGUCAGGGGUGAAAUGUCGUCGCUCAACGACGGAGCUGCCCUUGAUACUGGCGUGCUGGAGUACGGAUGCCGUUGGAGGAAUGAGUGGUGUAGCGGUGAAAUGCUUAGAUAUCACUCAGAACACCGAUUGCGAAGGCAUCUGACGAAUCCGUCACUGACGCUGAGGCACGAAAGCGUGGGGAUAGAACAGGAUUAGAUACCCUGGUAUUCCACGCCGUAAACGAUGAUGACUAACCGUCGGCGAUAGACAGCCGGUGGCCAAGCGAAAGCGAUAAGUCAUCCACCUGGGGAGUACGUCGGCAACGAUGAAACUCAAAGGAAUUGACGGGG
rnacentral:rRNA from 1 species